rnacentral:rRNA from 1 species
AAUCAACGCUGGCGGCGUGCCUCAGACAUGCAAGUCGAACGAUUAAAGCUCUCUUCGGAGAGUGUAUAGAGUGGCGCACGGGUGAGCAACACGUAAGUAAUCUACCUUCGAGUGGGGAAUACCGUCCGGAAACGGACGCUAAUACCGCAUAAUGCAGCGGCAUCGUAAGAUGACAGUUGUUAAAGAUUUUAUCGCUUGAAGAGGAGCUUGCGGCAGAUUAGCUAGUUGGUAAGGUAAUGGCUUACCAAGGCUACGAUCUGUAACCGGUCUUAGAGGACGGUCGGUCACACUGACACUGAAUAACGGGUCAGACUCCUACGGGAGGCAGCAGUCGGGAAUUUGGGCAAUGGGCGAAAGCCUGACCCAGCAACGCCGCGUGAAGGAUGAAGUAUUUCGGUAUGUAAACUUCG